GUUAGGUACUACUAUAUGUAGUUUAAAAGGGAAGUUCGGUCAGAAUCCCGACGCUGCCCCCGCAACUGUGAAGCUGACGAAGAUUUUUAAUGCCACUGUGCAUUUGCAUGGGAAGGGAAUCGGAGAAUGAAGCUAAGCCAGGAGACCUGCCUAUAAAAA
rnacentral:ncRNA from 1 species